rnacentral:rRNA from 1 species
GACGAACGCUGGCGGCGUGCUUAACACAUGCAAGUCGAGCGGUAAGGCCCUUUCGGGGGUACGACGAGCGGCGAACGGGUGAGUAACACGUGGGUGACCUGCCCUCAGCUCUGGGAUAAGCCUGGGAAACUGGGUCUAAUACUGGAUAUGACUCCACGGUGCAUGUCGUGGGGUGGAAAGCCUUGUGCGGCUGAGGAUGGGCCCGCGGCCUAUCAGCUUGUUGGUGGGGGUGANGGCCUACCAAGGCGACGACGGGUAGCCGGCCUGAGAGGGCGACCGGCCACACUGGGACUGAGACACGGCCCAGACUCCUACGGGAGGCAGCAGUGGGGAAUCUUGCGCAAUGGGCGAAAGCCUGACGCAGCGACGCCGCGUGA